rnacentral:tRNA from 1 species
GAGGUGCUCGUCCAAAAAAGAUAGUUGAUUUCGACUCAACCGAUUGUGGUUAAAACCCACAGCCCCAUG